GCUAAUUCAUGAUUUCUAAACAAUAUUAUUCAUAACAACCUUGAAGCUGCGCAAAUUACAGCAAGCCAUAUAUACAAGAGAAUGAGGGCUUUUAUGAUGCAUUAUUAUUUAAGUGGGAAAAAAAGGUCAUUAUGUACUCGACGAGGUAUCGAUUAUUCUAGCUAAAACAUGGGCAUGAGCCAAUUUGAUAUACAUCUUAAAAAUGGAGCAUAAAGAUUGAGGGAUGAGU